UGGGGAAUUUUGGACAAUGGGCGAAAGCCUGAUCCAGCAAUGCCGCGUGUGUGAAGAAGGCCUUCGGGUUGUAAAGCACUUUUGUCCGGAAAGAAAUCCUUGGCUCUAAUACAGUCGGGGGAUGACGGUACCGGAAGAAUAAGCACCGGCUAACUACGUGCCAGCAGCCGCGGUAAUACGUAGGGUGCAAGCGUUAAUCGGAAUUACUGGGCGUAAAGCGUGCGCAGGCGGUUUGCUAAGACCGAUGUGAAAUCCCCGGGCUUAACUGGGAACUGCAUUUGUGACUGGGCGGGCUAGAGUAUGGCAGAGGGGGGUAGAAUUCCACGUGUAGCAGUGAAAUGCGUAGAGAUGUGGAGGAAUACCGAUGGCGAAGGCAG
rnacentral:rRNA from 1 species